rnacentral:misc_RNA from 1 species
GAUGAAGAACGUAGCGAAAUGCGAUAAGUAAUGCGAAUUGCAGAAUUCCAGUGAGUCAUCGAAUCUUUGAACGCACAUUGCGCCCUUUGGUAUUCCGAAGGGCAUGCCUGUUCGAGCGUCAUUAUCACCCCUCAAGCCCUCGGCUUGGUGUUGGACGGUUUGGUGGAGGCCCCCUCGGGGGCUCCUGCCCCUCCCAAAGACAAUGACGGCGGCCUCGUUGUACCCCCGGUACACUGAGUUCUUCACGGGACACGUAUCGGACACAUGGGUUUACGGGACACGGUCUGCCUCCCCUCAGGGAGAAUCUUUCUAAGGUUGACCUCGUAUCAGGUAGGGAUACCCGCUGAACUUAAGCAUAUCAAUAAGCGGAGGA